rnacentral:rRNA from 1 species
AUUGAACGCUGGCGGCAGGCCUAACACAUGCAAGUCGAGCGGAUGAAGGGAGCUUGCUCCUGGCUUCAGCUGCGGACGGGUGAGUAAUUACUAGGAAUCUGCCUGGUCUUGGGGGAUAACGUCCGUAAACGGGCGCUAAUACCGCAUCCGUCCUGAUGGAGAAAGUGGGGGAUCUUCGGACCUAACGCUAUUAGCUGAGACUAGGUCGGAUUAGCUAGUUGGUUGGGUAAAGGCCUACCAAGGCGACGAUCCGUAACUGGUCUGAGAGGAUGAUCAGUCACACUGGAACUGAGACACGGUCCAGACUCCUACGGGAGGCAGCAGUGGGGAAUAUUGGACAAUGGGCGAAAGCCUGAUCCAGCCAUGCCGCGUGUGUGAAGAAGGUCUUCGGAUUGUAAAGCACUUUAAGUUGGGAGGAAGGACAGUAAGUUAAUAUCUUCCUGUUUUGACGUUACCAACAGAAUAAGCACCGGCUAACUUCGUG